CCUACGGGAGGCAGCAGUGGGGAAUAUUGGACAAUGGGCGAAAGCCUGAUCCAGCAAUGCCGCGUGAGUGAAGAAGGCCUUCGGGUUGUAAAGCUCUUUUACCCGGGAAGAUAAUGACUGUACCGGGAGAAUAAGCUCCGGCUAACUCCGUGCCAGCAGCCGCGGUAAUACGGAGGGAGCUAGCGUUGUUCGGAAUUACUGGGCGUAAAGCGUACGUAGGCGGCUUGGUAAGUCAGAGGUGAAAGCCCACGACUCAAUCGUGGAACUGCCUUUGAGACUGCUUCGCUUGAAGAUGGGAGAGGUUAGUGGAAUUCCGAGUGUAGAGGUGAAAUUCGUAGAUAUUCGGAAGAACACCAGUGGCGAAGGCGGCUAACUGGACCAUUCUUGACGCUGAGGUACGAAAGCGUGGGGAGCAAACAGGAUUAGAUACCCUGGUAGUCCACGCCGUAAACGAUGAUAACUAGCUGUCGGGGCUCUUGGAGCUUCGGUGGCGCAGCUAACGCAUUAAGUUAUCCGCCUGGGGAGUACGGCCGCAAGGUUAAAACCNCAAAGGAUGACGGCUGAGACGNGCCGACGGACGACGACGAGGGAGUAGG
rnacentral:rRNA from 1 species